rnacentral:rRNA from 1 species
AGGACAGUUUGAAAGUUACGGCGGAUACGGAUUGGCUCGCGUGACAUUAGCUGGCUGGCGGGGUAACGGCCCACCAAGGCGACGAUGUCUAGGGGUUCUGAGAGGAAGGUCCCCCACACUGGAACUGAGACACGGUCCAGACUCCUACGGGAGGCAGCAGUGAGGAAUAUUGGUCAAUGGGCGCAAGCCUGAACCAGCCAUGCCGCGUGCAGGAAUGAGGCCCUAUGGGUCGUAAACUGCUUUUGCUGCGGAGCAAUAAGUGUCACGUGUGGCACGAUGAGAGUACGCAGCGAAUAAGCAUCGGCUAACUCCGUGCCAGCAGCCGCGGUAAUACGGAGGAUGCGAGCGUUAUCCGGAUUUAUUGGGUUUAAAGGGUGCGUAGGCUGUUCGUCAAGUCAGUGGUGAAAUGCCGGGGCUCAACCCCGGAGCUGCCAUUGAUACUGUCGGGCUUGAAUCCUGCUGCCGUGGGAGGAAUGAGUAGUGUAGCGGUGAAAUGCAUAGAUAUUACUCAGAACACCGAUUGCGAAGGCAUCUCACGAAACAGGCAUUGACGCUGAGGCACGAAAGCGUGGGGAUCAAA